AAACAGGAUGUGUUAUGUUUUUGUUUGCGAAUCAAACGUAUAUAAACCUUUGUGUCACACACAUCCUUGACGCGAAUACAUUCAUGUUAGUUGAAUGUUUUUAUGAUCAACUAACUGACUUCUUUUGUUCUUGCACACAGAGAGAUUUCUUAACGUUACAAAAAAAAAACAUGAAGGGAAGAUUUGAUAUUGUCUUACUUGGAUUUGCAAUCAUUCAUGCCUUUGUUCAGCUGUCGUCUGCUAGCAAUGACACCGAGAAGAUACCAUCGUAUGAAACUAGCACCUAUAUUCAUGAUGACUGGAGAAGGCCCGAGUAUGACCAGAACGUAUGUACCACGAAACCUCUGGACGACUACAGAGAGGAGGUGACCUGUAUAACACAAGUGAAAUUUAAACAAAGCAAACUGGACAAAUUAGUGGAAAAGGUUGAAAAUAUGGAAAACAAGUUGAACCAACUGGAAUCCAAGUACGAUGAAAGUCAGCGUGAUAUUGAGGGUCUCAACACGGAGGUACUCGAUCUCAAGAAUCGUGUCACCGGGCUUGAGUCAAACCUAACCGCUACGGUCAGUACUGUCAAAGCACAGGAAAAGGUGUUGAACGACCUGAGGCAGAGUCUAGCCAGCACAACCUCAAAUGUGAACGCCGUCAGGAGCAAUUUGGCCAGCAUUAGAACUGAAGAGGGGACUGUGUACUGUUCAUCUAGUAAUGAGUUUAGAUUAACUUCCUCAGAGGGGGUAUACAAUAGGGUUAAGUAUGUUAGGGUUAAUUUCAGAUCACCUUUCACCAAAGUCCCACAGGUUUGGGGAUCGAUACGAGCAGUGGAUGCUGACAGAAACACAAAUUUCAGAUACAACUUUCAAGUCCGCGAUAUUAGUACCUUAGGGUUUACCGUGGUUUGUCAGACGUGGGCCGAUACUCUCUUGCAUGGAAUCGAUUAUCAAUGGCGAGCAACAACGCCUAUAAAUUAAAUUUUUACUUUCAUAUUAAAAGAUUAUAACAUUCCAGUUCAAUAGACAAAUAUUUUCAUGUAUAUAAGUUACAGAAAAGAAUUAGACAAUAUGUAUAUACUAUGUUUAUUAAAGAAAAGAAAAUGAAUUUUCUAUAUUGAAAUUUGGCAUCUAUAUUUGGUCUUCAGAUCCCAGAACUAAACAAAAACAAAAUUACUGUAUUUAUUUUUUUUUUGUGUGUGAAAAUCUCCAAAGAAUCAAAGUAGACGAAGGAAUAUUUGACUAUUAUAAAAGUUCGACUUUCUAUUAAAACGAAACGAAGUAACAGAGUUUUUUUUUUUUUUUUGUAUAAUGUGUAAGAAGAACUCUUCAUUCUUGUUCAGAGCGAUAAUAUAAAUUUAUCUUUUUUUUUUUUAAAUGAAAACCGGAAGUGUUUAGCUUUAUUUGGCAAUUUUUUUUAACGAAUGCCAUACCCGGGAAAUUAUUAGUUUACACAAUUUUCUUUGAAUUAUAUUCACACCACUUUACAAGUAGCUGUAAAUUAACUUUCUUUAACAAGUAGCUGUAAAUUAAAUUUGAUUUACAAGUAGCUGUAAACUUACAUUAUGAUACACUACAAAGUAAUGCAGAUCACCAACUUUCUGAUGUAUAUUUCAUAAGUAAGAUUCAACAGAAACUGUGGAAUUUAACGUAGAACUUGUUUGCUCUCGUAUACAUUGUUUGUUCUAGUUCUCUAUUAUUAUGUAUUAUGCACAAUGGUAAAACAAAUGUCCCCACGAAUACUAAAGAUUAUUAUCAAUAUUGUUAUAUGUAAUCGCUACUAUUUAUAUUCUAGCCAAACUGUAUAUAUAACCAUGAAAGUGAUAGAAUACACUUUUCUGUCACUGCUUCUGUUCAUUUAAUUCUGUUUAUUUUUUUCCUACUUAGAUUUAUCUAGGCUCAAAUAAGAAAACUAUUUUUUUUAAAUACUUUAUACAACUUAUAGAACGAUUAAUUUUCUCUUAAUCACUAAUAAAUGUUAGAUAUUUUUUUAAUUUGAAUAUUUUUAUCCCCGCCACAUCUCCCCCUCCCCCAAUUAAGCGAAGGUAUAGAUUCCAUCUCAUCUCUGCCUGUGGUCCCUUCUGAGGAAUAGGCCACCAACCAGCUUCCUCCAAGCAUCUCGGUUCUGGGCGAGUCUCUCCAACUGUCCCCAUGUCUUGCCCAUCUGCUUGGCAUCUACUUCUAGAUCGCAGCGCCAUGUAUUCCUGGGCCGUCCCCUCUUCCUCUUUCCUUAAGGGUUCCAAGUUAGGGCUUGCCUUGUUUAUGUUGGAUGCAGGCUUGCGAAGGGUGUGAACUAUCCAUCUCCAGCGUCUUUAUAGGAUAUCUACUUCAAUGGGCUGCUGCUUUGUUCUUUGCCACAGUCCCAGGUCUCUGUUCUAUAAAGUAGUAUAGGCUUAUUGGUUUUAAAGAGCCUGAUCAUUAUGGUGGUGCUUAUUUCCCUAGAUCUCCAGGUGUUCUUCAGCUGAUGGAAGGCUGCUCGAGCUUUACCAAUGCGGGUUAUGAUAUCUGCAUCUGUUCCUCCAUGGUGGUCUAGGAUACUGCCGAGAUAGUUGAAGCUUCCCACCUCUUCCAGCGCCUCACCAUGGACUGUAAUGGGCGUGUUGUUGGAUGUCUUCAUCUUGAACACCUUGCUCUUCCCUCUAAUUAUGGUAAGACCCAUUCUAGCUGAAUUUUCCGCAACGACGCUUAUAGUUUUCCUGCAUCUGCUGUUGUGUGUGAGAAAGAAGAGUCAAGUCAUCUGUAAAGACGGGGUCGUCUAGCUGUUUCCACAGUGUCUACUGUAUACCAUUCCUCUUCUUGUCUGUUGUUGUCUUCAUGACCAAAGGUAUAGAUCUACUAGACAUAGAAUUCCAAUAAAAGGUCUUUAGAUCUAGACAAAGCGCAAAAUAUUCCUGAACAUUAGUUUAUUAAACUCUUGAAUGUUUGAACGAAUAAAGCCUACAUGUUGAAAUACACAAAGUCCGUUAUUUUCUCGAUCUCUAGCUAAAUUUAAAUGUAUUUCUUUUGUUUACUUUGAACAAUUAUAAAGGUCAAACUAGAGUUUUCUCGGUAUGGCCAACGAGCUAGUCAUUCUUUUCCCAGCGAUAUACAUCAACUGUCAAAUUUCUAGGAAAAUCGUUAGAGCUGUUUUCGAAAUCCUUGUCCACUCAGGUUUUUGAGCCCACCCACCCAGAAGGUCUUAGUUUUAGUUUCCACGAAGGUACAAGUUGAAUAGAGAUAUUGUAAAAAACAGACAAUAAAGACAGUUUGGUGCCACAAUAGCGGCCAAAAAGCUUAUUGCGUCUCCUUUUUGGUGGUCCGCUCAAAAGUAAAUAAUAGUUUGUUAAUUAUUUCUAUUAAAAAUUAUGGGUUUCUAUCUAAUUGCUAAGCCCUCUAAUUAUAUUUAAGGCCUUUUACAAUUUAUCCUAAAAAUUUUAAUGAUUGAUUUUUUUUUAAUAAAAUAAACAUGCUUUUAAGGCGGAGGAACGGACAUUAAAGGGAUGGCCAAUGUCGUGGUUGACCAAAACAGGCCACAUUUAUUUUGUGUCACAUUACCUUACUUCAGUGUCUCUCAAAGUGGGGUAGGUGUACCCUCAGGGGUAUGGGAAGACUUUGUAGAGGGUACGCGUUGCGCCUCGUUAACUAUGCUGAUUUUAAAAAAAAUACCCAGUUAUUAUGUUCUGUUAAUAAAUUAAAGUGUGGUUGGAGUGGGGGGGGGGUGGCGAGGGGUACUAAGCAUUACAAAAAUUAUAAAAGGGCUUACACAUAGGUCAAAAGUUUGGGAAAAACUGCGGCGUAGACCUACUUCAACAGUGUUGUUAGCAGUCUUAACAUCUGAAAAUGUGGAAACUAUUAUGUUACGACAGAAACAACAAGAGAUAAGUUCUCGUGAGUCUAACGCAAGCAGCACUUUCAUUGGCUAAUGUGUUGCAUAUAUCGUGUAAUCCGAUGUUUCUCAUAAUAAUAAUAAUGAUAAUAAUAAUAAUAAUUUAUAGCGUAAUGUAGGCUCAAAGCGCUGUGAUAACAUUACAAACAUAAACACAAGCGUUAAAAUGACAAACUCAUCUAAAAAUAUUUUGAACAGAUAGGUCUUAGCGUUCUUCUUAAAUGUAGGGAAGCAUGUUGUCUGAGAUAAAUGUGGAGUGAGUUCCAAAGCUUUGGUCCGUGUACUGAAUAAGUCCGCAAACCAUAACUUUUGAGGGAGAAACGCGGCCUCACUAGAAGCGUUGAUCCCAUGACGUUUAGGGCUCUCUGAAAGACAUAUUGAGUAAUCAUACAAAGGCAUACUAGGGAAUGGCGGGGACGUGACGUCCUCUCUGGGAGGCUCUAGGUUUUGACGAAAAAAAAUUUUCAAUUUAUUUUUAAAGAUAGAAAAAAGAAGUAUUCUUUUCAUUGUAGUUAUGGAUACAUGUUUGAAUAUUAACCAUGUGAAAUGACAGUGUUUCAAAAUCUAAAUAUAUUAAGCAAAAGACGCCAUUUAAUGUUCUAAUAAGAACCGUCUCUAAUCAACUUUUUUAAAGAAGACUCUUCAUUCAAAACUUCUCCCCAUUGUGAUUAUGCUCAAUUGGUAUUAGUUUACGUGAUUAGAAACGCUAAAUCAGGUUUCUCUAAUAUUUUAAGAAUAUGCAGAAAAAAAUGCAGAUUACAAAUAUGUAAUUUAAUUUUCUCGGAGAUAAAUAGUUUUUAAAAUAUAUAUUUUUAAGUUUUAUUUCUUAUUACGUAUAUUGUCAUUGGAAAUACGCCAUUUUGGUUUAAAGGCUUAAUACUAGACUAUCUCCCUUGAAUUACUUGCCAACAUUUUUCUGUUGCUGUUUUGUCUUUCUUUCUAGCAGCUAUUAGAUCUAAUAUUAAAAUUCAUUUAAAAUGAUAGCAUAAGAACAAAAAAUUCUUUUAGAAAAAGAGUUAUUGAAAAAAAGAAGAAACAACUUCAUCAAUUUAUUAUUAACAUUUUUUUAGACCUUCAUUUCAGUAAAUACACUUAAAAAUUAAUAAGUUGACAGCAUAAGAACAAAAAUCUCUUUAAAAAAAGGUUAAUAUAGAUAAGGGAGAUAAAUAUGCUUAAAAACAACAUGGUGGUCAGUAAAGGUAUUUGGGUAUCUAAACUAUUACCGACCAAUUUUUAGCGGCCCCCGAACUAAUAUUAGUUUUGUGUGAAAUGUCUGUCCGUCCGUCUGUCCGUCUGUCCCAUUUAGAUCUCGUAAACUAGAAAAGAUAUUGGAAAUUCGACAUCAUAAUAUUUUAGUCCUUUCAAAGUUCUGAUGCAACGGCUACUUUUUUUCUUUUCUAAAAGCAAAAAAUCUAAUUUUUAAAAUCACCUGUGCAAGCAGUUUUUUCAUAAAAAUACACAACUUUCACAACUAUUCACUAUUAAGUAACAAAGACGGGAGGCUCUUUAGUAGGGAACAUUGCAAUUUGCCAUAUUUUAAACACAUUUAUGCAAAUGGUUUUAGAUUUUUUGUCAAUUUUUUUUUUUUACAUUUGUAUUGCUACGUUAUGUAAGUUCUGUCCUACUAACUAGUACAUUGAGCCAAAAUAAUGUUUACUUUUUUUAAGAGAAAAAAGCUAUUUGGUAUGCAUAUAAGUUGGACAUAAUUUAAAACAGCAAUUAAUAAGUAGUUUUUCAUAUUAUCGCGUGAACUGAAGUGCGCCGAUACAACCAUAAACACUUAACUAAAGGAAUUUUUUAAUUUUUUUUUAUGGAAAUGUUUUUUUUUUCUUUUUUCUUAAAUUAUCUGAAUUGUAACAUUGUUUUGUAUCAGAAUAGUCUAAAUACUCUUGACUAUUGUACACAAUCUCGCUGACGACAAAAGCAAUAAAAAUGAAAUAUAAAUGUCCGCGGGAAGAGGUCUUACUUAACAAGAAGAUGAUUUUAAGACAACGAAUGUGCCUCAAAUAAUAUUAGCCAGUGUUGUCUCAUUCUUUGUUAGAUUAAGUUUGAUCUGCGACUUUUGUUUUUUCCCUAUGCUGAAUAGUGCGGUCUGAUUGCAAGAAAACCCCCGUCACACCCCUUUGUUUAACAUGCCCUUAUUUUACUUUGAGAGAAAGGCGUUGUAGAUGCAGGAGAAAGAAUUUCUGAAGUCUAGAACGCAGGAAAAGCUUGACGCUGGGAUUCUGCCCCGUACCCGCUGGAGAAUUGCAUUGCUCCCAAAUAUUAUUUCCGGAAAGAAAUCUUUCAAACAAAUAUCUACAAAACAAUAUUUCAGAAAAAGAAGAGUAAAAGGACCACUUCAAUAAAUGUAAUUAGGCCUAUGUACAUUUCGAUUUGAAACAUAAUGUAAAUAUGUACCGGGAAAUGUGUUCUAAUUUAAUCAUUUCAGUUUCUUUUCUUUUUCAUUAUAGCCUGAAUAUCCUUCCGGACUACAACGCUCCUUCAGAUCCUUACUUACCAGGCUAAGGAGGGCUCGAAUGAAAUUUGUUUUUAAGGGGGCGCCACGAGUAAAAGUUUGAGAAACACUGAUGUAAUCUGUAUUAUUUUCAAAUGUUCCAACCUUGUGUUAAUCAUGACCCACUGUGCUUUGUAAUCAGUUUAUCCAGCAACGUUUGAAAUGUGCGUUUCACUUUAGUACGCAAAGGUUCUUCAAUUUAUUGCUCUGUGUUUCAGAGUGUUGGCUUAUUAUCUUUAUAUUUUCUUCAGAUAAACUGUAAACAAGUUCAACAUGUCAGUAGUAGGCAUAAAGACAAACGCAGCUUUAUUCUUAUUUAUGUUUGUCCUAUCUACAUUAGCAGGUUCUAUUUCACUAUCCCAAGUCAACAACACUACACAGCACAACUCCGAAGACAACAUCCCAUAUGUUGAGGUAAACUGGAGAAGGUCUGAAGAAGAUCAGAUAGGCCAUCAUGCGUGUACUGCCAGAAAACUGGACGACAACAGCGAAGAAGUCACCUGCUCCACGCACGUCAAGUUUAGACAGAACAGAUUAGAUGGCUUGUCGGAGAAAACGCAGAGUUUACAAGAUAGGUUGAAACAACUUGAAGCUAGGUUUGAGCAUUUUCUUCAGCAGCAAAAUGACGAAUUGUAUUCAGUCGAUAGCCUUGAGAAGAGACUCAAUGUUACAGUUGAAAACCUUGAUAUUGUCAGAAAUACUUUGUCAAACAUCCGAACCGAAGAAGGCUUCGUUAAUUGUUAUGACAGCAACGGUUUCAGUCUCUUCCCUUCAGAAGGUCUGCCCAAUAGAGUUAGGUUUAUAAAGGUCAACUUUACAAAACCAUUCUCCAAGAUACCGGAAGUAUGGGGAUCCAUUAGAGCAGUGUCCACAAACAAAAACACAAAUUUUAGAUAUCUUUUUACAGUGAGGAACAUCGAUACAUUGGGAUUUACUUUAGGAUGUCACACUUGGGGCGAUACUAUAAUAGAUGGAAUCGAUUAUCAAUGGCGAGCAACUACUCCCAUCAACUGAUAAGAUCGCAUUAUAUAAUGCUUGGAAAAACAUAUAACUUUAUAGUUUCUGCUUUAGAAUGUAUAAUUGAGAUGAGUAAGCCAGGUCUUUUUUUUUAUAUUCAUUUUACAGACAAUAAUACUCCUUUAUUCAAGACGUUUUGAAUACAAAAUAAAUUGGAAAACUUUGUUAGCUAUCCAUAACAUUAUUAUGUUAAUUUUUUUUGUUCAUUAGUAGCUUACACUAUGCUCAUCAUAUUAAGUAGUAAUAUUCAACCGUUAAUUACAGAAUGAGACGUAUUUCCAGAAGCUGAAAAUGGGGACGAGAAAUUCGCCCCUGUAGAGAGUCACCUGAGAAUCCCGUCCGUGUCCUGGACGUUCUUUAUUGAGAACGCAGAAGAAGAUCUUUCUGACCAUAGCUAACACCCAGGAUUUCAUCUAAUUUCUUCGAAAUGGUCCACAGUUACUUUUUGACUGAAGGAGGCCAUAGAUGUUCCAUGAAAAAAACUUAAAGGACCGAUGAUGAUACUGAAUACAACCUUGCAAUCAAUACAGAUCACAUUCCAGUCACGCUUUACAUAGCAAUGAAAACAAAAAUAAAUAAAAUGAGAAUGGACUAUGAAAUGUAAAAACAACCUAGCCUUCUGUUAAAAACAACCUAGCCUUCUGUUAAGCAAACACGCGUCCACCAGGAUAAAAUGUUUAUUUUGUUAUGGUACGUUUUCAAAUAAGGACUGUUCUCAAUGUGUUAUGGUCAUUACUGUAAUUGCUUGUAAUGUGACUAUCAGUUCUAGGAUAAUGGUAUAAUGUUCCAAAUGUCAAGAGAAUAAUUUCCUUGUCAACAAUUAGACACCUCAGCGUUAAGUUUUCAGAAACAAAAAAGUGUGAGUAAUUAAUGGAUGAAGAAAAAAAAUGUUUUUAUCUCUUAUUAAAUAUUAAUUGACAAUAACAAAUAUGUCUAACUGCUACUUAAUCUAUUGCAAUCUGAUUCUUUUACUGGUAAAUAGCUAAAUGACUUUUUAAACUAACAUUGAGACAACUAUUGAGAAAUAAUGUUAAAUACUGAAAGAUCACUUAUCUAAUAGUCUGAUGGACCGUUCGGGCACAAUACAUGAUCUGUCGACUCCUCUCUCCAUUCUUCUUUGUCUUUUACCAUGACUAGAAUCUCUUUCAAUGACAGGCCUGUCCAUUCAUUGUUGUUACCUUCCGAUCACUUUCUGCCUCUUUCCUUUCUUUCCCCUGAUACUGUUCUCUGUAGGAAGGUCUUUGUGAGCAUGAGAACAUUGUACUAUGGCCAUACCUUUUUGGUUUGCUUUUUUUUUGGACAGAGGUCAGCAGGUCAUUGUAGGCCCCACUACCAUUGUGAUUUGUGAUCCUGUUUCGAUUGACCUCAUUUGUGGUGUAGCAUCUCAAUUCCAUGGCUCAGAUUCUCAUCUCAAAUUCUGCAGUUAUCGUCCAAGAUUCGCAAGCAUACAAGCAAUAACAAACAACUUCUCUUUUUAGUUUUCAAUUAUCAAUCAGAAAGAAGUUUCACUAACAUUGAAGUGAAUUAUACUUAAAAGAAUAUUUUUAACUUAUAAUAAAACGAAAUGGCAAAUUGGAUGCCUCAAUAGCAAUAAGGCGUUGUCUUCGAUUUUGAAGAUUAAAGAUGAGUGCAGCAUUUUAAAUGACCGGGCAAACCCAUUUGUAACCUGCAUAGUUUGCAACAUCUAAGGCAGACAAAGCCUUUCUACAUUAUGUGGCUAUUUACGUUUUUUUGUAUUUUUUGGCUUCUGCGCAUGUCCUCAGCAAGGAUCCUUCUUUGGGUAGCAAUAAGAUAGGAGGCAACAUAAAAA